GGCCAUAGGCCCCUAUGGUCC
rnacentral:tRNA from 21 species